ACUGGAUAUGUCGCAGGAGAGGUGAAUGCAAGGCGAAAAUGACAACAGAUCCAGAUGCCAGUCGAAUCAUUGCCCUUCAAGCUGCCACACGCACGCGGGAGACCCAACGGAACUCAACCUGCUCAGGACGCGUCAUCGGAUAAAAGAAAAAGCAGGUUUGUGCCGAAACGUUUCUGCAUUUAGUAUAAAAAAAUUAGGUUUCUUAACAAUUUUUUUUUCGUCACAGUGGGGAGCCACGAAACUCCAGACCAAAUUCUUUUAGACGCUGCAUCUGCCGUCAGUGACGACACCGCUUCUCAGAUGCCUGCCCCGUCGUCCCUGCGGCGAGUCUUACGGAAGCAAAGGCAGCUCGCGACAUUCAGCUACAGUAUUCCGUCCACCAGAUGAGACAUCAGAGUCCCCGUGGAGUUCAAGGUGACAAGCAAAGGCGAGUCCUUUCUCCUGCAUGAUAGUGGAGAUGGCGACUCUGCAAGAAUCCUCAUCUUCGCAACCGAGAUGAACUUGCACCACUUGGCUCAGUCUACCGUGUUGCUAGUAGACGGGACCUUCAAGGUGACGCCACCUCUAUUCUGCCAGCUUUAUACAGUGCACGCUGUACUUCAUAGAGUGGUAAUGCCAAUGACAUACGGUCUGCUACCUAGCAAGUCAGAAGACACUUACAGAAGUCGGUGUACCGGAGGGUCUGCGCUUCCGGCCUGCAGAGUACAUACAACACACAAGAGGACUUUGCAGUGCUGAUGAGGAUGUUCCCAUCGCUGGCAUUUCUCCCGACCGCUGAAAUCCCAGAAGCCUUUCAAGAUUUAUUGGAGGUAAUCCCGGUGGAGGCAGUUCCAGUGGCGAACUAUUUUGAGGACACCUAC
rnacentral:misc_RNA from 1 species